CAACUCUGGUUCCCUUUCAAAUCGAAAAAAUCUUUCGCCUUUUACUAAAGAUUUCCGUGGAGGGGAACACUCUAAGGAGUAUAGAAUGUAAUUUUUUUGAAACGCCUGACCUUCUGGUCGGGC
rnacentral:snRNA from 1 species